UAUAUUUUAGUGUAGGGGGCACAGUAAUUUUUGAUAUUAUUAGAUUUAGUUUAACUCUAAAAAAUAUAA
rnacentral:tRNA from 2 species